rnacentral:rRNA from 1 species
AUUGAACGCUGGCGGCAUGCCUUACACAUGCAAAUCGAACGGUAACAGGUCUUCGGAUGCUGACGAGUGGCGAACGGGUGAGUAAUACAUCGGAACGUGCCCGAUCGUGGGGGAUAACGGAGCGAAAGCUUUGCUAAUACCGCAUACGAUCUACGGAUGAAAGCAGGGGACCGCAAGGCCUUGCGCGGACGGAGCGGCCGAUGGCAGAUUAGGUAGUUGGUGGGAUAAAAGCUUACCAAGCCGACGAUCUGUAGCUGGUCUGAGAGGACGACCAGCCACACUGGGACUGAGACACGGCCCAGACUCCUACGGGAGGCAGCAGUGGGGAAUUUUGGACAAUGGGCGAAAGCCUGAUCCAGCCAUGCCGCGUGCAGGAUGAAGGCCUUCGGGUUGUAAACUGCUUUUGUACGGAACGAAAAGACUCUUUCUAAUAAAGAGGGUCCAUGACGGUACCGUAAGAAUAAGCACCGGCUAACUACGUG